rnacentral:rRNA from 1 species
UACAGAGGGGGCGAGCGUUGUUCGGAAUUACUGGGCGUAAAGGGCGCGUAGGCGGCCUACUAAGUCAGACGUGAAAUCCCUCGGCUCAACCGGGGAACUGCGUCUGAUACUGGUGGGCUUGAAUCCGGGAGAGGGAUGCGGAAUUACCAGGUGUAGCGGUGAAAUGCGUAGAUAUCUGGAGGAACACCGGUGGCGAAGGCGGCAUCCUGGACCAACACUGA